GCUUAGAAGCAGCCAUCAUUUAAAGAAAGCGUAAUAGCUCACUCAUCAAGAGAUUUUGCGCCGCAAAUUAUCGGGGCUCAAGUAUUGUACCGAAGGUGAGGAUGCUAGUGCUUGGCACUAGCGUGGUAGGAGAGUGUUUUUCGCUGCUGUGAAGGUUUGCCGCGAGGCUGACUGGAGCGCGAAGAAGUAAGAAUGUUGGCACAAGUAACCGCAACCCCGGUGAGAGCCCGGGGCGCCGAAAAACCAAGGUUUCCUUGGCAAUGUUGAUCAGCCAAGGGUUAGUCGGGCCUAAGCCGAUGGCGAAAGCCGCAGGCGAUGGACACAUGGUUAAUAUUCCAUGACCUCUUUAUUUUUCCGAUGGAGGGACGAAGGAAAAGAGUGAAUGCGCCUUAUAGGAUUGGCGUUGCUACUCCUAGGAAUGCUCUUUAGGUAAAUCCGGAGAGCUGAUUUAAUUCAAAUUCCGAGAGCGGCAAAAUUCCUUUCUACGGAUUGGGAAAUUUUCACGCAGAGCCUUCCGAGAAAAUCUUCUAGGGUUAAGAAUAAAGAGUCCGUACCGUAAACCGACACAGGUGGUCAGGUCGAGAAGACCAAGGCGAACGGGUGAGAGAUCCUCAAGGAACUCGGCAAAAAAGCGGCCGUAAGUUUGCAAUAAGGCCUUCCCACACCCAGAAUGACUUUGUUCCACGUUGUUUAUUAAAGUUUGUAUAAAAUUUUAAUAAGUAUUGGUAAUUUAAAAUUAUUACUCAACGUGAAGUGGAACAAAAAACAACGAAGUCAUUCUGGGUGCGGGACGCAGCUAAAGUAUCCCUGGCGACUGUUUAUCAAAAACACAGCUCCCUGCGAACUCGUAAGAGUAUGUAUAGGGGGUGACGCCUGACCAAUGCCAGAAGGUCAAAUAAGGCUGGUGAGAUUAUAUCAAGCUGGUUUUAUAAGCCCUGGUGAAUGUCGGCGAUAACUAUAAUCGUCCUAAGGUAGCGUAAUUCCUUGUCUGGUAAGUUCAGACGUGCACGAAUGGCGUAACGACUGGGGAACUGUCUCGAGGAUUUGCCCGGUGAAAAUACAGUGGGGGUGAAGAUGCCCUCUACCUGCAGCUAGACGAAAAGACCCCAGAAGCUUUACUACAACUUGAUAUUGGGUAUACGUUUUAUCUGCGUAGCAUAGGUGGGAGAGGUUGAAGCGACGGUUUUGGCUGUCGUGGACUCGUCAGUGAAAUACCACUCUGGUUGAGUGUAUAUUCUAACCUGACCGGCAAAAACGGUCGGAGACAGUAUCUGGUGGGUAGUUUUAUUGGGGCGAUAUCCUCCUAAAAAGUAACGGAGGAGUCUAUUAAGGUCGGCUAGGCGCGAAUGGAAAUCGUGCCGAUAGUGUAAUGGCACAAGCCGGCUUAACUGCAAGACGUACGUGUCAAGCAGGUGCGAAAGCAGAGCAUAGUGAACCGACGGUCCGUAUUAGACGCGGCCGGAGAUUAACGGAUAAAAGCUACUCUGGGGAUAACAGGCUGGUUCCGCCCAAGCGUCCAUAGCGACGGCGGAGUUCGGCACCUCGAUGUCGGCUCAUCUUAUCCUGGGGGUGAAGAAGCUCCCAAGGGUAUGGCUGUUCGCCAUUUAAAAAGAUACGCGAGCUGGGUUCAAACCGUCGUGAGACAGGUUGGUCUCCUAUCUGCUGCAGGCGUUGAUAAUUGAGAAGAUCUGCUUCUAGUAAGAAAUUGCUACUUGGCUCCUAGUUCGGUUAAAGCCGGAUGGACCCGAUCCGCCUAUGGUGGAUUUAGGGAAAGAAAUUUGCCAUGACAAUUUGGCUAAUAACGGUGAAGCCUUCAUAAAUGAUUUGGCAACUGGAUAAUAUUGGCGUUGGUCCGUACAAUAUUGUAUAAUUACUUGAGGACCAAAUUAUUUUUAAGGUAAUACCGUGGGAAGUCGAUCUAAAAUUGAUUUUGCUUAUGUC
rnacentral:rRNA from 1 species